rnacentral:rRNA from 1 species
GACGAACGCUGGCGGCGUGCCUAAUACAUGCAAGUAGAACGCUGAAGGAGGAGCUUGCUUCUCUGGAUGAGUUGCGAACGGGUGAGUAACGCGUAGGUAACCUGCCCUGCAGCGGGGGAUAACUAUUGGAAACGAUAGCUAAUACCGCAUAAUAGUAGAUGUUGCAUGACAUUUGCUUAAAAGUUGCAAUUGCAUCACUACCAGAUGGACCUGCGUUGUAUUAUCUAGUUGGUGGGGUAACGGCUCAACAAGGCAACGAUACAUAGCCGACGUGAGAGGGGGGUCGGCCACCCUGGGACUGGGAAAACGGCCAGGCUCCCUCGGGGAGCAACAGUAGGGGAACAUCGGCAAUGGACGGAAGUCUGGACGAGCAACGCCGGGGGAGGGAAGGAGGUCCUCCGAUCGUAAAAGUCUGUUGUAAGGGAAGGAAGAGCGUGAGAGUGGAAAGUUCACGCUGUGACGGUAUCUUAACAGAAAGGAACGGCUAACUACGUG